rnacentral:rRNA from 1 species
AGAGUUUGAUCCUGGCUCAGGACGAACGCUGGCGGCGUGCCUAAUACAUGCAAGUCGAACGAAGCUUUCUUUCACCGAAUGCUUGCAUUCACCGAAAGAAGCUUAGUGGCGAACGGGUGAGUAACACGUAGGCAACCUGCCCAAAGGGGGGGAUAACACUUGGAAACAGGUGCUAAUACCGCAUAACCAUGAACACCGCAUGAUGUUCGUGUAAAAGACGGCUUUUGCUGUCACUUUUGGAUGGGCCUGCGGCGUAUUAACUUGUUGGUGGGGUAACGGCCUACCAAGGUGAUGAUACGUAGCCGAACUGAGAGGUUGAUCGGCCACAUUGGGACUGAGACACGGCCCAAACUCCUACGGGAGGCAGCAGUAGGGAAUCUUCCACAAUGGACGAAAGUCUGAUGGAGCAACGCCGCGUGAAUGAAGAAGGCCUUCGGGUCGUAAAAUUCUGUUGUCAGAGAAGAAUGUGCGUGAGAGUAACUGUUCACGUAUUGACGGUAUCUGACCAGAAAGCCACGGCUAACUACGUGCCAGCAGCCGCGGUAAUACGUAGGUGGCAAGCGUUGUCCGGAUUUAUUGGGCGUAAAGGGAACGCAGGCGGUCUUUUAAGUCUGAUGUGAAAGCCUUCGGCUUAACCGAAGUAGUGCAUUGGAAACUGGAAGACUUGAGUGCAGAAGAGGAGAGUGGAACUCCAUGUGUAGCGGUGAAAUGCGUAGAUAUAUGGAAGAACACCAGUGGCGAAAGCGGCUCUCUGGUCUGUAACUGACGCUGAGGUUCGAAAGCGUGGGUAGCAAACAGGAUUAGAUACCCUGGUAGUCCACGCCGUAAACGAUGAGUGCUAAGUGUUGGAGGGUUUCCGCCCUUCAGUGCUGCAGCUAACGCAUUAAGCACUCCGCCUGGGGAGUACGGUCGCAAGACUGAAACUCAAAGGAAUUGACGGGGGCCCGCACAAGCGGUGGAGCAUGUGGUUUAAUUCGAAGCAACGCGAAGAACCUUACCAGGUCUUGACAUCUUCUGACAAUUCCAGAGAUGGAACGUUCCCUUCGGGGACAGAAUGACAGGUGGUGCAUGGUUGUCGUCAGCUCGUGUCGUGAGAUGUUGGGUUAAGUCCCGCAACGAGCGCAACCCUUAUUGUCAGUUGCCAUCAUUAAGUUGGGCACUCUGGCGAGACUGCCGGUGACAAACCGGAGGAAGGUGGGGAUGACGUCAAAUCAUCAUGCCCCUUAUGACCUGGGCUACACACGUGCUACAAUGGACGGUACAACGAGUCGCUAACUCGCGAGGGCAAGCUAAUCUCUUAAAGCCGUUCUCAGUUCGGAUUGCAGGCUGCAACUCGCCUGCAUGAAGUCGGAAUCGCUAGUAAUCGCGAAUCAGCAUGUCGCGGUGAAUACGUUCCCGGGCCUUGUACACACCGCCCGUCACACCAUGAGAGUUUGUAACACCCAAAGUCGGUGGGGUAACCUUUUGGAGCCAGCCGCCUAAGGUGGGACAGAUGAUUGGGGUGAAGUCGUAACAAGGUA